rnacentral:rRNA from 1 species
CCUACGGGGGGCAGCAGUGGGGAAUAUUGGACAAUGGGGGGAACCCUGAUCCAGCCAUGCCGCGUGUGUGAAGAAGGCCCUCGGGUUGUAAAGCACUUUCAGUGAGGAAGAACGCCUGGUGGUUAAUACCCAUCAGGAAAGACAUCACUCACAGAAGAAGCACCGGCUAACUCCGUGCCAGCAGCCGCGGUAAUACGGAGGGUGCGAGCGUUAAUCGGAAUUACUGGGCGUAAAGCGCGCGUAGGUGGCUUGAUAAGCCGGUUGUGAAAGCCCCGGGCUCAACCUGGGAACGGCAUCCGGAACUGUCAAGCUAGAGUGCAGGAGAGGAAGGUAGAAUUCCCGGUGUAGCGGUGAAAUGCGUAGAGAUCGGGAGGAAUACCAGUGGCGAAGGCGGCCUUCUGGACUGAAACUGACACUGAGGUGCGAAAGCGUGGGUAGCAAACAGGAUUAGAUACCCGGGUAGUC